GUGUGAUCUUUACAGGAAGUACUACAAGGAGGAUGAAGGCCUGAACCUGGAUGUUGGGGUUUACAUGAAGGCAUUGGAGUAUGCCUGUGAUGUAGAAGCUGAGGUCAUUGGGAAGCCAGACCCCAUGUUCUUUCAGAAAGUUCUGGAUGACAUGGGGAUUCAGUCACACCAGACUCUGAUGAUUGGAGACGAUCUGGUGAAUGAUGUGGGCGGGGGCC